rnacentral:rRNA from 1 species
AACGAACGCUGGCGGCAGGCUUAACACAUGCAAGUCGAACGCAUCCUUCGGGGCGAGUGGCAGACGGGUGAGUAACGCGUGGGAACGUGCCCUUCAGUUCGGGAUAACCCAGGGAAACUUGGGCUAAUACCGGAUACGUGCGAGAGCAGAAAGAUUUAUCGCUGAAGGAUCGGCCCGCGUCUGAUUAGCUAGUUGGUGGGGUAAUGGCCCACCAAGGCGACGAUCAGUAGCUGGUCUGAGAGGAUGAUCAGCCACAUUGGGACUGAGACACGGCCCAAACUCCUACGGGAGGCAGCAGUGGGGAAUAUUGGACAAUGGGCGCAAGCCUGAUCCAGCCAUGCCGCGUGAGUGAUGAAGGCCUUAGGGUUGUAGAGCUCUUUCGUCCGGGACGAUAAUGACGGUACCGGAAGAAGAAGCCCCGGCUAACUUCGUGCCAGCCGCCGCGGUAA